rnacentral:rRNA from 1 species
GGUUCCUAUUCCGGAACCCGGCAGCGGAACCGCUCCAAUUCGGGCCCUCAUCCGAGGACUCGUCGGGGUGACCCGAAAUGACCCGGAGAAGCCGUAGGGAGGUCCGGGGAGAGUUGUCUCUUCUCUAUAAGCGUUCGAGUUCCCUGGAAGCCUCUAGGAGGGAGAUAGGGUUUGGAACGCGAAGAGCACCGCACUUACGGCGGUGUCCGGAUCUUCCCCUCGGACCUUGAAAAUCCGGGCGAGGGCCACGAGGAACACCGCGCCGGCUCGUACCCAUAUCCGCAGCAGGUCUCCAAGGUGAAUAGCCUCUAGUCGAUAGAAUAAUGUAGGUAAGGGAAGUCGGCAAACCCGAUCUGUAACUUCGGGAUAAGGAUUGGCUCUGAGGAUCGUGGCGCGCCGGGCUUGGUCGGGAAGUGGAGCGGUGCCAACGUGCCGGGCCUGGGCGAGGUGAAGGGCGCUUGUCGUCUGGACCCUAGCUCGGUCCCGUGCCUUGGCCACCCACGGACCUUCCUUGCUGCGAGCCUCCCGGCUGUCUAGUUUCCGGCCCAGCCGGAGUACGGGCCGGAAGGCUCUUCGGCCGCCAUAGAACGAUCAACUUAGAACUGGCACGGACCAGGGGAAUCCGACUGUCUAAUUAAAACAAAGCAU